rnacentral:lncRNA from 1 species
UGAACGACACUGUUCUUUUUUGUAAUUUUUCACUUAAAAAUACUUUUCUGAAAAGAUUAGUCAGAUUUAAUUUGAUAAUUAAAUAUUACAAAAACUGCUUCUCAGAAAAGCAAGUUUUAACAACUUCACCAAACGGCUUAAAGAAUUAUUUUUGAUAAUUCCUAUGUGAAUAAAUCUUCAGGAAACAAGACGUUCUAAGGCACCAAAGGGACGAUGCCAGCCCAAAAGAUACCGACGGCAACAAGAAAAGAACCGUAGACACGGGGUUAUCUUUGAUAAGUCGCACUUAGUCCUUUCUCCUCUCUCCCAAACAGGGUGAAUCAGGGGCAGAGCUAAAGUCCCUCUUUGAAAGAAUUGUAUGAAGCAGACUGUAGAAUUUUUUUGUGUAUUUCAAUGGUCUUGAUUAAAUAGACUCCAUAUGUAAUGUAUGGUUGUGAUUGAAUAUAUGGAACUGAGAUGAACGGCUAAGAUCAGAAGAAUUGUGAUGGGAUAAAAAGCUUUGGUUGUUCCGACCAAAG